CGCGUAGGUGGUAGUGUAAGUCUGGGGUGGAAUCCCAGGGCUCAACCCUGGAACUGCCUUGGAAACUGCAUUACUUGAGUCAGUGAGGGGAGGGUAGAAUUCCUGGUGUAGCGGUGAAAUGCGUAGAUAUCAGGAGGAAGGCCUGUGGCGAAGGCGGCCCUCUGGCGCUGGACUGACACUGAGGCGCGAAAGCGUGGGGAGCAAACAGGAUUAGAUACCCUGGUAGUCCACGCCCUAAACGGUGGGCACUAGGUGUAGGGCUCGUAAGGGUUCUGUGCCGAAGGGAAACCAUUAAGUGCCCCGCCUGGGGAGUACGACCGCAAGGUUGAA
rnacentral:rRNA from 1 species